rnacentral:lncRNA from 1 species
UUAGGGAAUUCCAGGAAUGGCUGGCAGUAUUGGGGCAGUUGGUUACCCUGGCAGGCAGGGCCUAGCUGGACCAGAAGGUAACCCAGGUCCCAAAGGAGUAAGAGGUUUCAUUGGACCUCCAGGUGUGGCAGGACAACCAGGACCUGAAGGAGAAAGGGUAGGUCUAAUGGAACAUUAAUGAAAUGUUGAUGUUUGUGUGGUAAUGCAAUAUAUGUUAGAGUGGGGGAAAAAGUAC